GAUGAACGCUGGCGGCGUGCCUAAUACAUGCAAGUCGAGCGAACGGACGAGAAGCUUGCUUCUCUGAUGUUAGCGGCGGACGGGUGAGUAACACGUGGAUAACCUACCUAUAAGACUGGGAUAACUUCGGGAAACCGGAGCUAAUACCGGAUAAUAUUUUGAACCGCAUGGUUCAAAAGUGAAAGACGGUCUUGCCGUCACUUAUAGAUGGAUCCGCGCUGCAUUAGCUAGUUGGUAAGGUAACGGCUUACCAAGGCAACGAUGCAUAGCCGACCUGAGAGGGUGAUCGGCCACACUGGAACUGAGACACGGUCCAGACUCCUACGGGAGGCAGCAGUAGGGAAUCUUCCGCAAUGGGCGAAAGCCUGACGGAGCAACGCCGCGUGAGUGAUGAAGGUCUUCGGAUCGUAAAACUCUGUUAUUGGGGAAGAACAUAUGUGUAAGUAACUGUGCACAUCUUGACGGUACCUAAUCAGAAAGCCACGGCUAACUACGUG
rnacentral:rRNA from 1 species